CUACGGGUUGCUGCAGUAAGGAAUAUUGCGCAAUGGAGGCAACUCUGACGCAGCCAUGCCGCGCGCAGGAAGAAGGCCUUAUGGGUCGUAAACUGCUUUUAUUUAGGAAUAAACCCCCGAACGUGUUCGGGGCUGAAGGUACUAAACGAAUAAGCACCGGCUAACUCCGUGCCAGCAGCCGCGGUAAUACGGAGGGUGUAAGCGUUAUCCGGAUUUAUUGGGUUUAAAGGGUGCGCAGGCGGGCUAUUAAGUCAGUGGUGAAAUCCCGGGGCUCAACUCCGGAACUGCCAUUGAUACUGAUAGUCUUUAGUUUGGUUGAAGUGGGCGGAAUGUAGCAUGUAGCGGUGAUAUGCAUAGAUAUGCUACAGAACACCAAUCGCGAAGGCAGCUCACUAAGCCAAAACUGACGCUCAUGCACGAAAGCGUGGGGAUCAAACAGGAUUAGAUACCCUGGUAGUC
rnacentral:rRNA from 1 species